rnacentral:rRNA from 1 species
GCGUAAGAGCUCGUAGGCGGUUUGUCGCGUCUGCCGUGAAAGUCCGGGGCUCAACUCCGGAUCUGCGGUGGGUACGGGCAGACUAGAGUGAUGUAGGGGAGACUGGAAUUCCUGGUGUAGCGGUGAAAUGCGCAGAUAUCAGGAGGAACACCGAUGGCGAAGGCAGGUCUCUGGGCAUUAACUGACGCUGAGGAGCGAAAGCAUGGGGAGCGAACAGGAUUAGAUACCCUGGUAGUCCAUGCCGUAAACGUUGGGCACUAGGUGUGGGGGACAUUCCACGUUUUCCGCGCCGUAGCUAACGCAUUAAGUGCCCCGCCUGGGGAGUACGGCCGCAAGGCUAAAACUCAAAGGAAUUGACGGGGGCCCGCACAAGCGGCGGAGCAUGCGGAUUAAUUCGAUGCAACGCGAAGAACCUUACCAAGGCUUGACAUGGACCGGACCGCCGCAGAAAUGUGGUUUCCCCUUUGGGGCUGGUUUACAGGUGGUGCAUGGUUGUCGUCAGCUCGUGUCGUGAGAUGUUGGGUUAAGUCCCGCAACGAGCGCAACCCUCGUUCUAUGUUGCCAGCACGUGAUGGUGGGGACUCA